rnacentral:lncRNA from 1 species
GGGAGAUGGGGCUAGUGGGAGGUGUUUGGGCCAUGGGGAUGGAUCCUUCCUGAAUGUUUUGGUACUGUUCUUGCAAUAAUGAGUUCUCACUGUGAUGAACCUGGAUAAUUUCCCACAGAAUGAAUUAGUUCCUGUUAAAUAGCCAGGAUGCUUCCGUAUUUUGUUUCUUCAGGUGUGUCUUCUUGCCCUUUGACCUUCAUCAUGCAUGCUAUGAGGCAGCACAAAAGCUCUCAUCAGAAGCCAGGGAUAUGCUCUCGAACUUCUCAGUCUGCAGAACUAUGCUGAACGACUGUAGAAUGGUGACGUUGAGGUCCUUGGGAACUUCUCGUAUAGUUGUAAGAAGAUCAGCUUUG